AUGGCGUCACGCACCACCUUCGCCGACGCGCUGGCGGCCGCGCGCCCGUACCUGCGGGGCGAGGAGGACCAGUGCGGCGACCCGGCCCUGCCCGCCCUCACCGCCGUGCUGCGCGCCGCGGGCGCCGGCGAGUGCUGGCACAAGCACGGCACCUUCCUCGCCCACCUGCUCGAGGUCUACCGGAUCCUGCGCCUCUGGGGCGCGCCCGACGCCGUGGCCCGCUGCGGCCUCUACCACUCCGCCUACUCCAACUCCUACGUCAACCUCGCCAUCUUCGAGCCCGACGUCGGCCGGGGCCGCGUCGCCGCCGUCGUCGGGGACGAGGCCGAGCGGCUCGUCCACCUCUUCUGCGUCGUCCCGCGCCAGCAGCUCGUGCACGACGACCUGCUCUUCCACUAUGACGAUGGUGAGCUCGUCGCCGACCUCGCCCGGUCCGAGGAGUCCCUCCGGGAUGCCCGCCGCGGCGUGUUCGACGAGGAUGAGCCCUGGCGCCGCAAGAUCCAGCGCCUCCUCCCCGCCGACGGCAUCACAGUCAAGCACAUCAGGACUGGUGAGGAUGUGGCUCUCUCUAGGCGGGUGGCGGCGACAUUCCUUAUGAUGACAAUGGCAGACUUCAGUGACCAGCUCUUCGACUGGCAGGACCGCCUCUUCAACAACGCCAACGGCCGCCUUGAGUUCCGAGGCAACACUUGGACGUCACUGUGGCCUGGCACAGGCAAGCCCGGCCUUUGGACCACGUCCAUCUCCCGCAUGGGUGUGCUCUACAGCCUAAUUGUUCACGAGGAGGAGAUAUACAUAGCUCACCGGGCGCACACCACCGGCAAGGAAGGCGACGACUCUGCCACACGCGACGAGGACAUCGCCCUGGUGAUCCCUCCGGUGUUCGAUGGCUGCACAAAGGUGCUGGACGCCGACGACCAGAAGGCAGCACGAGAUCUCUACUGGGAGGCGGUGUGCAGCGAUGAGGAGGCAACGGACCGAUGCAAAGUGGAGGAGCUGCUCCGGCAGAGCGUCGCCAAGAACCCGUUCGUGGGGGAGCCACGGCUGGUGCUCACGCAGAUGUGCCUGAACGCGGAGAUGUACGAGGAGGCACAGGAGCAGGCGGAGGAAGGGCUGAAGCUGCUGCUGGAGUGGGGGAGCAGCUGGGACAAGAGGAUGCCAUGGGAGGGGUGGGUGUCCUGGGGCAGAGCCAUGCUGACUAAGGCCAAGGAAAAGGAUUGGCCCCAUACCUCCUUCGGCAUCCUCAGCCUAGGCCUUGUCAAGUAG
rnacentral:rRNA from 1 species